UACGGGGGGAGCAAGCGUUGUUCGGAUUUACUGGGCGUAAAGGGCGCGUAGGCGGCCACCGCAAGUCGACUGUGAAAUCUCCGGGCUUAACCCGGAAAGGUCAGCCGAUACUGCGGGGCUAGAGUGCAGAAGGGGCAACUGGAAUUCUCGGUGUAGCGGUGAAAUGCGUAGAUAUCGAGAGGAACACCUGCGGCGAGGGCGGGUUGCUGGGCUGACACUGACGCUGAGACGCGAAAGCGUGGGGAGCGAACAGG
rnacentral:rRNA from 1 species